GGAGUUUGGGCCGUGUCUCAGUCCCAAUGUGGCCGUUCACCCUCUCAGGUCGGCUACUGAUCGUCGGUUUGGUGGGCCGUUACCCCGCCAACUGCCUAAUCAGACGCGGGGCCAUCCCAUACCACCGGAGUUUUUCACACUGAAGGAUGUCCUUCCGUGCGCUUAUGCGGUAUUAACAGUCGUUUCCAACUGUUAUCCCCCUGUGUGAGGCAGGUUACCCACGCGUUACUCACCCGUCCGCCACUAAGUAUUAAAAAUCCAUCCGAAAACUUCAUUCUCAAUACUCCGUUCGACUUGCAUGUGUUAAGCACGCCGCCAGCGUUCAUC
rnacentral:rRNA from 1 species